GGUGAACGCUGGCGGCGUGCUUAAGACAUGCAAGUCGAACGGGCUCUUCGGAGCCAGUGGCGCACGGGUGAGUAACGCGUAACUGACCUACCCCAAAGUCGCGGAUAACGAUUCGAAAGAAUCGCUAAUACGUGAUGUGCUGUCAGAUCCUGUUCUGCCAGUAAAGAUUUAUUGCUUUGGGAUGGGGUUGCGUUCCAUCAGCUAGUUGGUGGGGUAAAGGCCCACUAAGGCGACGACGGAUCGCCGGCCUGAGAGGGUGGCCGGCCACAGGGGCACUGAGACACGGGUCCCGCUCCUACGGGAGGCAGCAGUUAGGAAUCUUCCACAAUGGGCGAAAGCCUGAUGGAGCGACGGCGCGUGAGGGAUGAAGGUCUUCGGAUCGUAAACCUCUGAAUCAGGGACGAAAGACGCGAAAGCGGGAUGACGGUACCUGAGUAAUAGCACCGGCUAACUCCGUG
rnacentral:rRNA from 1 species